rnacentral:misc_RNA from 1 species
GAAAUGCGAUAAGUAAUGUGAAUUGCAGAUUUCAGUGAAUCAUCGAAUUUUUGAACGCACAUUGCGCCCUCUGGUAUUCCGGGGGGCAUGCCUGUUCGAGCGUCAUUACAACCCUCAAGCUCUGCUUGGUAUUGGGCGUCGCCGGUUUCCCGGCGCGCCUCAAAGUCAGUGGCGGUGCCGUCCGGCUUCAAGCGUAGUAAUUUACUCUCGCUCUGGAGUCCUGGGCGGUGCCCGCCAGCAACCCCAAUUUUACCACAGGUUGACCUCGGAUCAGGUAGGGAUACCCGCUGAACUUAA